rnacentral:rRNA from 1 species
UUAAGCUAUAAAGAGCAUAGGGUGGAUGCCUAGGCACUGAGAGCCGAUGAAAGACGUGAUAAGCUGCGAUAAGCUGCGGUAAGGAGCAAAUAUCCAUUGACCCGCAGAUUUCUGAAUGGGGAAACCUACGCAAGAAGACCUUGCGUACUCAUGCAUGAAUACAUAGUGUAUGAGAGGGAACCCGGGGAACUGAAACAUCUAAGUACCCGGAGGAAGAGAAAGAAACAUCGAUUUCCUGAGUAGCGGCGAGCGAAAGGGAAAGAGCCCAAACCAGAGGAUUUAUCCACUGGGGUUAGGACUGCAUAAUUGAUCUGCAAUUGAUAGGAGAACGGUCUGGGAAGUCCGGCGAGAAAGCGUGAAAGCCGCGUAUCCGAAAUCGAAAGCAGCAAGGCAGGAUCCAGAGUACCACGAGACACGAGAAACCUUGUGGGAAUGAGCGGAGACCACUCCGUAAGGCUAAAUACUACUCAGUGACCGAUAGCGCAUAGUACUGUGAAGGAAAGGUGAAAAGGACCCCGGGAGGGGAGUGAAAGAGAACCUGAAACCCUGUGUUUACAAGCUGUCGAAGCACGAAAGUGCGACGGCGUACUUUUUGUAGAACGGUCCGGCGAGUUAUGAUGAGUGGUAAGGUUAAGGACUUAAGGUCCGGAGCCGAAGCGAAAGCGAGUGUUAAAAGCACGGUUGAAUCGCUUAUCAUAGACCCGAAACCGGGUGAUCUAUCCAUGUCCAGGUUGAAGCUGCCGUAAGAGGUAGUGGAGGACCGAACACACAUCCGUUGAAAAGGGUGGUGAUGAGGUGUGGAUAGGGGAGAAAUUCCAAUCGAACCCGGAGAUAGCUGGUUCUCCUCGAAAUAGCUUUAGGGCUAGCCUCUGGUUAGUCUGCCGCAGGUAGAGCACUGAAUUUCCUAGGGGGCGUCAAAGCCUACCGAAGAAUAUCAAACUGCGAAUGGCGGACAGAUGAUGCCAGGGAGUCAGACUGCACGAGAUAAGUUGGGUGGUCAAAAGGGAAAGAGCCCAGACCUACAGCUAAGGUCCCAAAGUGUGUGUUAAGUGGAAAAGGAUGUGGGAUUUCGAAGACAACUAGGAUGUUGGCUCAGAAGCAGCCACACAUUAAAAGAGUGCGUAAUAGCUCACUAGUCGAGAGGUCCUGCGCCGAAAAUGUCCGGGGCUAAAACACAACACCGAAGCUUAGGAAUUCUAAUGAAUUGGUAGAGGAGCAUUGAAGACGGAACGAAGCCAUACCGGAAGGAAUGGUGGACUGUCUUGAAGAGAGAAUGCCGGAAUGAGUAGCGAGAUUGAAGUGAGAAUCUUCAAGGCCGAAUAUCUAAGGUUUCCAGGGUAAAGCUGAUCUGCCCUGGGUAAGUCGGGGCCUAAGGCAAGGUCGAAAGACGUAGUCGAUGGAUAACAGGUUGAAAUUCCUGUACUGCAUCAAAUCAGAAAUGUGGGGACACAUGAGGGAAGCAUGAGCCGGAAAAGGAAAGUCCGGUACAAGCGCAGCAGAGGACAGAUAGGCAAAUCCGUCUGUCAACUCAAGGGCGCGAUGUGGAGCGAACCAAAGUAGCGAAGCAUGUGGAGCUUGUGUCGAGAAAAGCCGCUAUUGUGUUUGAUGUACCCGUACCGUAAACCGACACAGGUGGAUGAGGAGAGAAUCCUAAGGCCGGCGGGAGAAGCAUUGUUAAGGAACUCGGCAAAAUGACCCCGUAACUUCGGGAGAAGGGGUGCUCCAGAGAUGGAGCCGCAGAGAACUGGCCCAAGCAACUGUUUAGCAAAAACACAGGUCUAUGCAAAACCGAAAGGUGAGGUAUAUGGGCUGACGCCUGCCCGGUGCUGGAAGGUUAAGAGGAGAUGUUAGCCGCAAGGUGAAGCAUUGAAUUUAAGCCCCAGUAAACGGCGGCCGUAACUAUAACGGUCCUAAGGUAGCGAAAUUCCUUGUCGGGUAAGUUCCGACCC